GUUGCAGCAAUUUCCUAAACGUUGUCAUAAAGGUUGACAGUUUUCAACCAAAUUAGUCGACAAUUAGACCAGGUAGUUUAUUAAUAUGCAAUUGUAUGCAACCGCACAACAAAAAACAUUUUACUUUUAUGUAUUUGUGUUUACGUUUCCCACUUUCAAGCUCCGUUGACUGUGAUAUCAGUACUGACCCGGAUUAGCACGACUGCACGUGUGUCAAAACAAUGCAGAUUUUGAGAUUUAAAAAAAGAUCACUAAUCGACUACCAAUUUAAACAUUUUAAAGGUGAGCCAAUCGUGGCAGCUCUAAAGAUCUAAAACUACAUGUUAGCUUAAUUUUUUAACCUAGAUUAAUCUAGAUGAAAUGUUUACGCUUUGAAACUGGAAUAUCGUUUUUAAAAUAAUAGUUUGAGGUAAAAACUUCAUGUAAAUAAAAGACAAAAGUGUGUUUAUAUUGUGUUUUCAGGCCUUAAAGGGAAACAAAAGCUGACAUUACAUGACUUUGACCUUCAGUCCACUUAGUGCAGAAGUCGAUUCUAGUUUUACCCCUUUGCCUGCUCUUACAAUGGCAGUUAUGCAAACAGGUGAGUGUCGCACCACAAAGGAAGCUGUGAAGGCAAAUUAUUAUUACAUUUGCUCAUUUCGUGUUGCUUUAGCGGGUUUAUAACCAUUUUUUUAAUGCACUUUCAAGCGAUUUCUGAAAAGCUGCUCCUGAGGGUCAAAGUAACUGCAGUGCUGUCACUUUUCUUCUAUUAGCCACGCCCCCUUUGUCUGUUUUUCCAGGGCCAAAGGGUACAGGAGUGGAAUCGACUCCCAGCUUUGGAUCCUACAUCUCAUCAAGAGGACACACGUCUUUAUUCUCAUGGAGGAGAAGUUUAAACCAUCUGUUGGGUUCUCCCCCCUCUCUUCGGACGAGACAAUAGUUUAUCUGGAGCCGGCGCUAUCACGUUUCCUGAUAAACCGCUCUGAGCUCAGCCAGGAACCAAAGCAAAGACGGAAACAGAUCAGAGGUCAAGAUGACAGAGGUCAAAGGUGUGGUUUUGUAGAGGUCUCCCUCAGGGACCCCCUUUGGAUCCGGAUUCUGAGAUCUGGGAGAGGAGCUAAAGGUUAUUGUGGAGCUACAAAGGCGGAGGUCGAGCGAUUAUGCGGAGGCCUUUAAAAGAGCAGGCCUUUUGUGGAGGUCCGGGGGUCUGUCUGCCAGCAGCAGGAGGAGGAGGAGGUGGAGGAGGAGAGCCGCUCCCUCCUGAUGAAAACAAACUGGGGGAAGGAGGAGGACGGGAGCCGGGCUCCAACAGGCCCACAUCUCUGGGGUUCACCAACGGAACGAACGCGACGCGAGAACCAGAUUUAAACCAACAGAAACACACGGAGAACGACUAAAUAAAAUAGAAAAUAAAAA